rnacentral:rRNA from 1 species
GACGAACGCUGGCGGCGUGCUUAACACAUGCAAGUCGAACGAGUGGCGAACGGGUGAGUAAUACGUGAGUAACCUGCCCUCUUUUUGGGAUAAGCCUUGGAAACGGGGUCUAAUACCGGAUAAAGGGGGAUGGGCUCGCGGCCUAUCAGCUUGUUGGUGGGGUGAUGGCCUACCAAGGCGGUGACGGGUAGCCGGCCUGAGAGGGUGACCGUCCACAUUGGGACUGCGAUACGGCCCAGGCUCCUACGGGAGGCAGCAGUGGGGGGUAUUGCACAAUGGGCGAAAGCCUGAUGCAGCGACGCGGCGUGGGGGAUGAAGGCUUUCGGGUUGUAAACCUCUUUCGCCAGUGAAGCGGUAGCUGGAUAAGAAGCGCCGGCUAACUACGUGCCAGCAGCCGCGGUAAUAC